UGAAGCUGCGCUGUUCCUAGUAUCCUUUUGAAGGAUCUGCGCGAUUUUCGCGUCUAUAACAGUGUACCUUGAUGCUGCUAUUAGUGGCAGUUGAACGCGAGCCCUUGGCUGGAAAGGGUACACAGCUCAGCACUUACCACGGCAUACGGGCACCAAGCGAGUAGUAAAACAGCAUACAAAACCAAACAUACAGAAUUUAGUGGUGCUGCAAAUUAUGUGAAAAAGUGAAAAUUUAAGUAAAUUUAGACAAUAAAGAAAUCUGUGAAUAAUUAACUAAGCCGAGAAAAGGGUUUAUAUCAAAUACGAACUGAAACUAAUACUUUAAAACUGUUGGAUAUUGAAUGCGUUUUUGCUGCAAAUACACAAAAAAAAUAAAGUAAAAAAAAAUUAAUAAAUUGAACUGUGCUGUAGACGAUAAAGAAAGCAGAAGGCGCACAUUAAACAACAGCAAAACAAAAACAAGCUAGAAAAAAACACUGAACUUUGAAAUGCAUAAGCGUACAAUAAAGGCAAAAAACUUUGUCUUCGUCUGCGUUUGGACUUGGACUUGGUCUCGAUGCUAAAGCGUAAACGUAGUAGGCGAGCGUAGCAAUAGUGUGUGUGUGAGACGCACAUGCAGGCAUACAUUCAAGUAGCGCUACACGCACAUACUAUACACACACACACACACGUGCGCGCGCGCGCUCACACUCCAUUUUCUACAUCACUUUGUGCCUGUGCAUCAGCCUAGUGGCUCAGCACCUGCCCCAUCGUCAGCGUCAGCGUCAACGUCAGCGUCAGAAUCAGAAACAGCCGCAACCUCAAUAUAAGCGGCGGCGGCGGCGGCGGCAUAGCAUCACCGUUAGCUUCCCAACCUAUCGCUGCCAACAUCAAACGGCCACGCCACUGUUCAGUGUCCUUAGAGUUGUGUGUGUAUGUAUGUUUGUUGGCUGUGGACUGUGUCGGCUGUUGGAGUUCAGUUCAGUUUGUGUUUGCUUUGCUGCUGUAACUGCUGCCUUCACCCCAAAAUCUGUUAUUGAUUUUGGAUUCAAACACACGCACGCACGCACGCACACACACACGCGCAUACAUACAUACUUCGUCGUCGUCGUCAUCCUCUUCGCAGGCUGCUAACGAGAGAGUCAACCAACCGCAUACAAACAACCACUCAACGAAUAGCAGUAAACGCAUACGGUGUUGGUGCAGCAGCGCGAGUGUGUAAAAGGGAGCCAACGAAGCUGCAGCUGGAGUAGGAGCAGGAGCAAGAAAUAACUGUAGCAAAGCCCACUGUGCGCCCGCCUGUCAGCCUGUCAGCCUGUCAGCCAACCAGCCCCCCAAGCAGCCGUGAAGAUGCCAGCAAUAUUGUAAACACGCAUGCUUACAAAAUUUAUUUGUAUGAAAAUAUA